rnacentral:rRNA from 1 species
UACGAAGGGUGCAAGCGUUACUCGGAAUUACUGGGCGUAAAGCGUGCGCAGGCGGUUAUGUAAGACAGUUGUGAAAUCCCCGGGCUCAACCUGGGAACUGCAUCUGUGACUGCAUAGCUAGAGUACGGUAGAGGGGGAUGGAAUUCCGCGUGUAGCAGUGAAAUGCGUAGAUAUGCGGAGGAACACCGAUGGCGAAGGCAGCCCCCUGGGCUGAGAUUGACGCUCAGGCACGAAAGCGUGGGGAGCAAACAGG